GAUAUAAAGAUUUGCAGCAGCUAUGAUGUUACCCAAAUUUGGGUUAAUUCUUAUUUUCCAGAGUUUCAAGAAUUUAGAGAGAGGCUUAAAGGAGAGCAGACACCAAUGCGUAGCAUAGUUUCCAUGUCAAGCAUGAGCUAUGGCAGUGCAUUUGAGGACUUCUUAUUCGGACAAAUGAAUGUAUUCACCAUUUCAGAGAUAUAUGAAAAGAGAGAAUAUGGUGACUUUUGGGUUGCGGCUAAAAUCGU